UCUUACCUAUCCCUCUUUUAAAUAUUCGCGCCUUUUUCUCACUCUCUCGAACAAGGUAGUUCAAGUUGGGUGGGGGAAAUCCAAUAUGGCUGCCAUCAGCUGAUUUACCGGAGGACCAAGAAGCAGGGAUGGGUAAAAGUGUUUUUUUCGGAGUUUUCUACGUAUAAUACAUAAAUGACGUAUAAUACGUAGAAAAUUGUAGAAAACCUGGUAUUAUACAUGUCCAGUUCUGCGCAUGCGUACAAACCUCACAAUAAUAAUAAAAAUCAUAUGUUUGAUUAUUUUUUAUUUGUUUCCUGGUUUUCAUUACUAAAUUGUUGCUAAAAAUACCAAGAAAAAACCAAAAAAGGUUACAUAUAAGCAAUAUUGUACAACAAUCACUGACACAUGGCCUGGCACAUGGAGAUGUAUAACCUAUAAAUGGGUCUGGCGGCAGCAGACAACCUGACCUGACCACGAACAGUUAGAACUUUGUUUGUGUGCUAUUUCUUUAAAACAUAAAUUUUAAAAAAACUUUUCAAUGUUAAUUAAUAAAUUUUUAAAUUGAAAUUAUGUUUAAAAUUUAUUUAAUAUACUAUUAAAAUCACAUGUUUCUUGUCUAAAAUUUAAAAAUCCCGCGCGUCACGCAAUGUAUGUAAAAUACAUGACAUACGUAGAAAACUAAAGAUGUAUAAUACCACGUAUUAUACGUGUAGAAAACCAGGUAUAAUACAUCAUGUAUAAUACGUACCCAUCCCUGCCAAGAAGACUAGAAACAGGAGAUUCAACUUCGGUAGUGGGGGGUACAGGACAAAUACGUAUGAUUGUGGUUUUCGGCAAUAGGCCGAGAAACUGAAUACCCUAAGAGGCGCGGUAGCCUUCUGCGCACCCAACACUAUUACAAGUUUCUAUAAUUCCAUGUGUGUCUGCUUCGCAUUAGUAUUAGAACGUCGAACAAUGACAAGCUCCAAAACAGAGUGGUUUUAUAUAUUAUAAAUUUUUUGUUGCAAUUCCUAUACACAAGAAAAUGAGAAGAGGAAUGGAGGAAGCAGAAUGAACAUAACCUUUAAAUGUAAGGGAAAAGUUUAUGAAAAUGGAAAAUGUGCAUUUAUAAAAUUCCAAAAAAUUGCAAACGAGAAAAGUUUAUCAUUCCGCUGACCAGGAAUUAGUAAAAAAAAAGGAAAAACUGAAGAAAAUCUAUCAACAAUUAAUCGAAGUAUGGAAAAAUAUUCAGAACCUCUCUACAGUCUUCUGGAACAAAAAAUGGAUAGUUUUAAACUGCCAAAUAAAAAAUGGAUGUACGCAAUAGAAAAAGGUAAAAAUAUACAAUUCCUGAGAAUUGAAAACGAUUUAAAUAAUUAUUUAUCAGUAAUUUUAGAAACAAACUUGAAUAUUAAAAUAAUUUAUAAUAGAAAAUUAGUUAAUUGGAUGACAUUUGAUAAACCUCAAACGCAAAUUGUCAUUGAAAAUAUUUUAGAAAUAAUAAAUAAUAGUUUUACUUCUAAUUUAAUGUUUUGCUUAGAUGCUGAGUAAAUAUAAAAUUACAUAAAAUAUUGUUAUAAUAUAGGUAGUGUGGGGAUUUUCAUGAUGCAAACGUUUAAUUUAAAUUUUUCUCUGCUCUGGUAUGAAUAUUAGUAAAUGUUGAAUUACCUCGUAAUAUUUUUAAACUUUUUAGCGAAUUUUAUUACAAAAUAUAAAAAUUUACUCUUACUCGGCGAAAUGAAAGAUAUUGGAAUUGAAAUGUCAUACUGUACAUUAGGUAGAAUUAUGAAAUUUUUACAAAAAGUUUUCUAAAAGUUAGGAGCACUAUAAUUUUGUUAAAAUCAAGGACCAUCAUGAAAGUCUAGUUUUGUCUUAGUAUCAGAUUAAAUACAAAAGUAAAUUAACAAAAUAAAUUUUAAAUCGACACGAAUCUAAAUUCAUUUUGUUAAUUCACUUUCGCGUUGAUCCGAAACUGCAUUAAAAAUAUGAAUAUUUUAAUUUAAUUUUUUUAAAUUAAAUUAAAUAAUAAAUAUUUUUAAAUUUAAUUUUCCUUUCAGUAUCGGUCCCUGGUUAAAAUUUAAUUUGUACAUU